GACGAACGCUGGCGGCGUGCCUAAUACAUGCAAGUCGAACGCUUUUUCUUUCACCGGAGCUUGCUCCACCGAAAGAAAAAGAGUGGCGAACGGGUGAGUAACACGUGGGUAACCUGCCCAUCAGAAGGGGAUAACACUUGGAAACAGGUGCUAAUACCGUAUAACAAGUAAAACCGCAUGGUUUUACUUUGAAAGGCGCUUUUGCGUCACUGAUGGAUGGACCCGCGGUGCAUUAGCUAGUUGGUGAGGUAACGGCUCACCAAGGCAACGAUGCAUAGCCGACCUGAGAGGGUGAUCGGCCACAUUGGGACUGAGACACGGCCCAAACUCCUACGGGAGGCAGCAGUAGGGAAUCUUCGGCAAUGGACGAAAGUCUGACCGAGCAACGCCGCGUGAGUGAAGAAGGUUUUCGGAUCGUAAAACUCUGUUGUUAGAGAAGAACAAGGAUGAGAGUAAAAUGUUCAUCCCUUGACGGUAUCUAACCAGAAAGCCACGGCUAACUACGUGCCAGCAGCCGCGGUAAUACGUAGGUGGCAAGCGUUGUCCGGAUUUAUUGGGCGUAAAGCGAGCGCAGGCGGUUUCUUAAGUCUGAUGUGAAAGCCCCCGGCUCAACCGGGGAGGGUCAUUGGAAACUGGGAAACCUGAGUGCAGAAGAGGAGAGUGGAAUUCCAUGUGUAGCGGUGAAAUGCGUAGAUAUAUGGAGGAACACCAGUGGCGAAGGCGGCUCUCUGNUCUGUAACUGACGCUGAGGCUCGAAAGCGUGGGGAGCAAACAGG
rnacentral:rRNA from 1 species